CAGUUACCAAGGGGAACUCAAUGAAUAAAAAAGAUCGAUUCCUCUCCUAACAUCUUCUAACUAUUAGAUAAGAAUCCUACCACCAGAAACAAUUGCAAUGUAUAAAAUAAUUUAACAUAUAGUUUUCUAUCCAAUGUUAUCAUUCCCAUGUUUGGAAUGAGACCCUCAGUGGCCAAGAGUGGAUUUAGUACUGACUCUCUAACCUAGAGGCCCCCACCACUGAUUCAUCCUGUUAGCUAUCUCCAUGCUUUACAACAGUGGGUCUCAACCACGGUGUCUCAGACGUUUGAUCAAUUCCAGUAUCUUACUGCUUGUUAGAUCGGGAUGAACAGUGGUCAGACAUCUCCUUUUAGAUCUGUUACAAACUGAUGGCUUGCUGGGCACUGUUAGACAAGUCAUUUGAUUUUGCUUUAAUUUCAUUUGAACAAGAGAUAAACUAUUUACUGUGACUGAUUCCAGAAUGUUCCCUAAUCAAAAAUAACUUGCAACACUUUGUAAUUUGUAAAGGGCUUUAGCAAGUAAGUGAGGCUCCUCUGGAUUGCUUUCUGGAUUUUUGGAAGGGACACAAUCUGAUCCACGUGAUUCUCUUACCUGCCUGCAAAAAGGAAAAUAAUAAUAAUAAUAAUAAAGAAUGUUCCAAUAUUAGAGAUAGAAUGCAGGUACCUCUACCUCCCAGUUCUUGCCCUUUGGAAAAAGGGCAAGAAAUAUGCCAAUUCCACUC
rnacentral:lncRNA from 1 species